AUGAACGCUGGCGGCGUGCCUAAUACCUGCAAGUCGAGCGAACAGAUGAGGAGCUUGCUCCUCUGACGUUAGCGGCGGACGGGUGAGUAACACGUGGAUAACCUACCUAUAAGACUGGGAUAACUUCGGGAAACCGGAGCUAAUACCGGAUAAUAUAUUGAACCGCAUGGUUCAAUAGUGAAAGACGGUUUUGCUGUCACUUAUAGAUGGAUCCGCGCCGCAUUAGCUAGUUGGUAAGGUAACGGCUUACCAAGGCAACGAUGCGUAGCCGACCUGAGAGGGUGAUCGGCCACACUGGAACUGAGACACGGUCCAGACUCCUACGGGAGGCAGCAGUAGGGAAUCUUCCGCAAUGGGGGAAAGCCUGACGGAGCAACGCCGCGUGAGUGAUGAAGGUCUUCGGAUCGUAAAACUCUGUUAUUAGGGAAGAACAAAUGUGUAAGUAACUAUGCACGUCUUGACGGUACCUAAUCAGAAAGCCACGGCUAACUACGUG
rnacentral:rRNA from 1 species